rnacentral:rRNA from 1 species
CCCCAGACUCCUACGGGAGGCAGCAGUGGGGAAUAUUGCACAAUGGGGGGAACCCUGAUGCAGCGACGCCGCGUGGGCGAGGAAGUAUUUCGGUAUGUAAAGCCCUAUCGGCAGGGAAGAAGAAAUGACGGUACCUGAAUAAGAAGCACCGGCUAAAUACGUGCCAGCCGCCGCGGUAAUACGGAGGAUGCGAGCGUUAUCCGGAUUUAUUGGGUUUAAAGGGUGCGCAGGCGGGGAGUUAAGUCAGCGGUAAAAUUGGGGGGCUCAACCCCGACAAGCCGUUGAAACUGGCUUGCUAGAGUGGGCGAGAAGUAUGCGGAAUGCGUGGUGUAGCGGUGAAAUGCAUAGAUAUCACGCAGAACUCCGAUUGCGAAGGCAGCAUACCGGCGCCCAACUGACGCUCAGGCACGAAAGCGUGGGUAUCGAACAGGAUUAGAUACCCCUGUAG